rnacentral:rRNA from 1 species
UACGUAGGGUGCAAGCGUUGUCCGGAAUUAUUGGGCGUAAAGAGCUCGUAGGCGGUCUGUCGCGUCUGCUGUGAAAACUCAGGGCUUAACCCUGAGCUUGCAGUGGGUACGGGCAGACUAGAGUGCGGUAGGGGAGACUGGAAUUCCUGGUGUAGCGGUGAAAUGCGCAGAUAUCAGGAGGAACACCGGUGGCGAAGGCGGGUCUCUGGGCCGUAACUGACGCUGGAGGAGCGGAAA